AGAGUUUGAUCAUGGCUCAGAAUGAACGCUAGAAAUAUGCUUUACACAUGCAAGUCAAUAAUCAAAUAAUUAAAAAUUUAUUAUGGCGUACGGGUGAGUAAUAUACAAGAAUCUACCUAGAAAUCUGGGAUAAAGAAAUACCAGAUAAUACAUAAAGAUUAAAUCGUUUUUAGAUGAGCUUGUACAAGAUUAGGUAGUUGGUAAGGUAAUGGCUUACCAAGCCUUCGAUCUUUAGUUGGUCUGGAUAGGAUGAUCAACCACAUUGGAACUGAGACAAGGUCCAAACUCUUUGGUAGGAGGCAGCAGUGAGGAAUCUUGGACAAUGAGCGAAAGCUUGAUCCAGCAAUAUUUCAUGAGUAGAAUAGACGCUCAAAAGGGUGUAAAGCUCUUUUGGUUUUUAGUAGAUAAUGACAUACUGAAGCUAUAAAAAGUCCUGGCAAACAAACAUGGUGCCAGCAGCCGCGGUAAUACCAGGGGGGCCAGCGUUAUUCGUCAUUAUUAGGCGUGAAGGGUACGUAGGCGGUCUUAUAAAUUUUAAAUGAAAUUUUAAAAUAAUAUUGAAAGUAUUUAAAAGAUUUAUAAACUUGAGUGAGGUGGAGGGUUUUAGAAUUCUUAAGGAGAAAGGUAAAAUUUGAUUAAUCUUAAGAGGAAUCCCAGAGUGCGAAAGCUAAUGCCUAUACCUACACUGACGCUGAGGUACGUAAGCAUGGGUAGCAAGCAGGAUUAGGGACCCUGUUAGUCCAUGCCGUAAACGAUGAAUGUUCAAUAUUGCNAAAUUUAUUUGCAGUAWUCUAGUUAACACGUUAAACAUUCCGCCUGAGAAGUAUGAUCGCAAGAUUGAAACUUAAAAGAUUUGACGGGGAUUUGUCCGUACGGUGGAGCAUGUCGUUUAAUGCGAUGAUCCGCGCAAAACCUUACCAGUUUUGGAAUAUAUAUUAAAACAAUUGUUAUUAUAUUGGGUAAAUCAAAUAUAUACAGGGUUGCAUGGCUGUCGUAAGGUUAUAUCGUGAGACAUUAGGUUUAUUCCUAAAAUAAGCGAGACCCUACUACUUUUAUAUGCUUUUAUAUAUUUAUAUAUUUUAUAGUACAUAAAAGAGAUUGGUUGGUGCUUUUUAGGCGGACCUGAAAAGUACCAAAUGAAAGUAUGGAUGACGCCAAGUCCUCAUGACCUUUAUAAACUGGGCUACAGAUGUGCUACAAAGGAAAGUACAGUAAGAAGCAAUUUUGAAAUAUUGAGCAAAUCUUUAAAGCUUUCCGUAAUUUGGAUUGUCCUCUGCAAUAGAGGGUAUGAAGUCGGAAUCGUCAGUAAUCACGAAUCAUCAUGUCGUGGUGAAAAAGUAAUCAAAUUCAGUACAUACCGCCCGUCAUGCGCUGAAAGUUAGCUUUGGUUGAAGUUUUUACUUUAAUAGUUUUUUAUAUUUAAUUUAAUAAAUUUUUAUAAAAAACGGAAACGAGAUCAAGGUUGAUUAUUUGUGCGAAGUCGUAACAAGGUAGCC
rnacentral:rRNA from 1 species